rnacentral:rRNA from 1 species
CGGACGUGGGUAACCUGCCUCAUACAGGGGGAUAACAGUUAGAAAUGACUGCUAAUACCGCAUAAGCGCACAGCGUCGCAUGAUGCCGUGUGAAAAACUCCGGUGGUAUGAGAUGGACCCGCGUCUGAUUAGCUAGUUGGUGAGGUAACGGCCCACCAAGGCGACGAUCAGUAGCCGACCUGAGAGGGUGACCGGCCACAUUGGGACUGAGACACGGCCCAA